UUUGAUAUUCCUGUACCAGUUGCUUUUGUUUGAGCGAUGGAGGGACGCAGGAGGCUAAGGAAUGCACACGAUCGGAAAUGUGUGUCCAAGCAGCAAGUCUGAGAACGAGUGAAAUGCUUUUUCUCUCAAGGACAAGCUGUGAUGGGGAGCGAAAUUUAGUAGCGAAGUUCCUGAUGUCACACUGCCAAGAAAAGCUUCUAGUGAGAAAGUAACUGCCCGUACCGCAAACCGACACAGGUAGUUGAGGAGAGAAUCCUAAGGUGUGCGAGAGAACUCUCGUUAAGGAACUCGGCAAAAUGACCCCGUGACUUCGGGAGAAGGGGUGCUGACCGGAAGGUCAGCCGCAGUGAAUAGGCCCAAGCGACUGUUUAUCAAAAACACAGGUCUCUGCAAAAUCGAAAGAUGACGUAUAGGGGCUGACGCCUGCCCGGUGCUGGAAGGUUAAGAGGAGAGGUUAGCGCAAGCGAAGCUUUGAAUUGAAGCCCCAGUAAACGGCGGCCGUAACAAUAACGGUCCUAAGGUAGCGAAAUUCCUUGUCGGGUAAGUUCCGACCCGCACGAAAGGCGUAACGAUUUGGGCACUGUCUCAACGAGAGACUCGGUGAAAUUAUAGUACCAGUGAAGAUGCUGGUUACCCGCGACAGGACGGAAAGACCCCAUGGAGCUUUACUGCAGUUUGAUAUUGCGUGUUUGUAUCACAUGUACAGGAUAGGUAGGAGCCGAAGAUACCGGGACGCCAGUCUCGGAGGAGGCAACGGUGGGAUACUACCCUUGUGAUAUGACCACUCUAACCCGCUGCUCUUAGCGAGCAGGGAGACAGUGUCAGACGGGCAGUUUGACUGGGGCGGUCGCCUCCAAAAAUGUAACGGAGGCGCCCAAAGGUUCCCUCAGAAUGGUUGGAAAUCAUUCGUAGAGUGUAAAGGCAGAAGGGAGCUUGACUGCGAGACUUACAAGUCGAGCAGGGACGAAAGUCGGGCUUAGUGAUCCGGUGUUUCCGCAUGGAAGGGCCAUCGCUCAACGGAUAAAAGCUACCCUGGGGAUAACAGGCUUAUCUCCCCCAAGAGUUCACAUCGACGGGGAGGUUUGGCACCUCGAUGUCGGCUCAUCGCAUCCUGGGGCUGUAGUCGGUCCCAAGGGUUGGGCUGUUCGCCCAUUAAAGCGGUACGCGAGCUGGGUUCAGAACGUCGUGAGACAGUUCGGUCCCUAUCCGUCGCGGGCGUUGGAAAUUUGAGAGGAGCUGUCCUUAGUACGAGAGGACCGGGAUGGACACACCGCUGGUGUACCAGUUGUUCUGCCAAGAGCAUCGCUGGGUAGCUAUGUGUGGACGGGAUAAACGCUGAAAGCAUCUAAGCGUGAAGCCCCCCUCAAGAUGAGAUUUCCCAUCACUUUAAGUGAGUAAGACCCCUGAGAGAUGAUCAGGUAGAUAGGUUGGGAGUGGAAGUACAGCGAUGUAUGGAGCGGACCAAUACUAAUCGGUCGAGGACUUAACU
rnacentral:rRNA from 1 species